AACGAACGCUGGCGGCGUGCCUAAGACAUGCAAGUCGUGCGGAAAGGCUCCUUCGGGAGUACUCGAGCGGCGCACGGGUGAGUAACACGUGGGUAAUCUACCUGAGGGUCUGGGACAACCCCGGGAAACUGGGGCUAAUACCGGAUGAGACCACGGCGUCCUCGGACGCAGCGGUCAAAGAUGGCCUCUCCUUGGAAGCUAUCGCCCGCAGAUGAGCCCGCGUCCCAUUAGCUAGUUGGCGGGGUAACGGCCCACCAAGGCGACGAUGGGUAGCUGGUCUGAGAGGAUGAUCAGCCACACUGGAACUGAGACACGGUCCAGACUCCUACGGGAGGCAG
rnacentral:rRNA from 1 species